rnacentral:lncRNA from 1 species
AGCUGGAACAGAUGCAGCCUGAGAAUAGUAUAGAGGCUCAGAUUCCAAAGAGGAGGAAGAUGAGCCAGAGAAGGCAGGGAGUUGACAGACAUAAUCCUGAAGAUAGGAAGGAGGAUUAUGUUGUCUUUGAGACUUUCUUGGAGCAGGAACAGAGGAAGAAGGAACUAAAAUAGAAGGUGGACCAGCAGGAUUGGAAGAAGUAGGACCAGAGGGAGAAGAGGGAGGAGAGAGAGGAAUGGGAGAAUUAGAGGCAUCAUCAUGUUCUCCAGAUGGAAUAAAGGGAAAAGAGGAAGCAGGAGGAGAAGCAGAAGAAGACACAGAUUUAAAAGGAAAAACUGAUUCAUGAAAGAGAACAUCCCUGGAGACCAAAUACUUCUUAGAUGCAAGAUCAUACAGCCUAUAACCCUUCCUGCCAAAAGGAUAACCCAGAAAAACACAAGGAAUGACUCUUGGCUUUAACUUGUCCCUUUGAGGGAUGUGAACAGUGGCAUAGGCAAGGCAACCAAAAGUCCUCAAGUGAGUAUAGGAUGGAAUUUUCCCAUACAAAAUUUCAUGAGGAGACUUAUUAUGAAGCAAUCUUUGAGGGAUGGGAAUAGUGGCAUAGGCAAGGCAACUAAAAGUCCUCAAGUGAGUGUAGGAUGGAAUUUCCCAUACAAAAUUUCAUGAGGAGACUUAUUAUGAAGCAAUCUGGGGGGUAUUCUGUUAAGAAGAUAGGUGGCAGUCAACAAGCAGUCCCCCCAGAAAGAUACUGGCAAGCUAGAUUGAAAGAGCAAAGCUCUACAGGUUUCAAGAAGAGUUCUAUGCUUUCUCUCAACAACACCAUUUAGUUGAGGAGUGUGAGGGCAGGAGGUUUGAUGUAUGAUUCCCUGGCUGCUAAAGAAAGAAACACCCUCAUUGCUAGAGCCCAAUUCUAGGGCAUUGUCACUUCUAACAGUCUGAACCACAACAUUAAAUUGGGUUCUGACCAGAGAGAGAAAUGACUGCAUGGAAAAAGCAUUGCUUUUGGAUCCCAGUAGGUAUGUCCAGGUUGCCCUCGAAAAGUCAUCAACAAUUGUAAGGAAAUACUUACAACCAGAAGAGGUUGGAGUAUGAUAAGGUCCCCAGGUGUCCACAUGAAUCAGUUGAAAAGGUCUAGAAGUCUUAAU